CAUGGAGCUUUUACGUAUUUAAAAUGCAUAGAUUACACCAUGCAACCACCUCUUUAAAUACCUCAUUUGAAAUGCCUUCUCUCUCCUAUCUCUUCCACUCCGUCGGUUCCCUCAUUCACCCCUCACCUCUCGAUCUCUCUCUGAUUCUCUUCUUCUUCUCUCUUUUAUGGUCUAUUUUUAUGUCGGAUCAACUCCUCUCAUCCCUCACCAGUCGGAUCCCUUUACUAUGGCUCGAUCUCAUUAUCUGAGAAUUUGCACUAGAGAGGGCCAUGUCUAUAGCCAUGGAUCCAUCGUUCUC
rnacentral:lncRNA from 1 species